GUCGCUUUAGCUCACUUGGGAGAGCGCCAGACUGAAGUUACACUUCGGUUAUCAAACAUCUGGAGGUACUGUGUUCGAUCCACAGAAGCGACA